UACGAAGGGGGCUAGCGUUGUUCGGAAUUACUGGGCGUAAAGCGCGCGCAGGCGGCUAUCCAAGUCAGUGGUGAAAGCCCGGAGCUCAACUCCGGAACUGCCAUUGAAACUGUUUAGCUUGAGGAUGAGAGAGGUGAGUGGAAUUCCCAGUGUAGAGGUGAAAUUCGCAGAUAUCGGGAAGAACACCUAUGGCGAAGGCAGCUCUCUGGGACGGUACUGACGCUGAGACGCGAAAGCGUGGGGAGCGAACAGG
rnacentral:rRNA from 1 species